rnacentral:rRNA from 1 species
AACGAACGCUGGCGGCGUGCUUAACACAUGCAAGUCGAGCGCGAAAGGGGGGGCAACUCCCCGAGUAGAGCGGCGCGCGGGUGAGUAACGCGUGGGUAACCUACCUCCGGGCGGGGGAUAACUACUCGAAAGGGUGGCUAAUACCGCAUGAGACCACGGGGUCUUCGGAUCCUGAGGCCAAAGAUGGCAUCGGCUUGCCGGUGCUGUCACCUGGAGAUGGGCCCGCGUACGAUUAGCUAGUUGGCGAGGUAACGGCUCACCAAGGCUACGAUCGUUAGCUGGUCUGAGAGGAUGGCCAGCCACACUGGACCUGAAACACGGUCCAGACUCCUACGGGAGGCAGCAGUGAGGAAUAUUGCGCAAUGGGGGAAACCCUGACGCAGCAACGCCGCGUGGGUGAAGAAGGCCUUCGGGUCGUAAAGCCCUUUCGGACGGGACGAACGUUUCGCGGGGCUAAACCGCGAAGCUUGACGGUACCGUAAGAAGAAGCACCGGCUAACUCCGUGCCAGCCGCCGCGGUAA